rnacentral:rRNA from 1 species
CCUACGGGAGGCAGCAGUGGGGAAUUUUGGACAAUGGGCGCAAGCCUGAUCCAGCAAUGCCGCGUGAGUGAAGAAGGCCUUCGGGUUGUAAAGCUCUUUUGUCAGGGAAGAAACGGCUGAGGAUAAUACCUUUGGCUAAUGACGGUACCUGAAGAAUAAGCACCGGCUAACUACGUGCCAGCAGCCGCGGUAAUACGUAGGGUGCAAGCGUUAAUCGGAAUUACUGGGCGUAAAAGCGUGCGCAGGCGGUUUUGUAAGUCUGUCGUGAAAUCCCCGGGCUCAACCUGGGAAUUGCGAUGGAGACUGCAAGGCUGGAGUCUGGCAGAGGGGGGUAGAAUUCCACGUGUAGCAGUGAAAAUGCGUAGAGAUGUGGAGGAACACCGAUGGCGAAGGCAGCCCCCUGGGUCAAGACUGACGCUCAUGCACGAAAAGCGUGGGGAGCAAAACAGGAUUAGAUACCCUGGUAGUCCACGCCCUAAACGAAUGAUUAACUCGACAUUAGCGAUAAUUACUGUUAGUGUNUAGAGAAAGANAUAAGUUAAUCGUCCGUGGAGGUUAGGUUGUCGAGAAGUAAAAUUAAAAGUUAAAGUUAGAGAGNGAGAGAGCGAGACGACGACGAGGAGGAGGAGG